rnacentral:rRNA from 1 species
UACGUAGGGAGCAAGCGUUGUCCGGAAUCAUUGGGCGUAAAGAGCGUGUAGGCGGUCCGGUAAGUCCGUUGUGAAAGUCGAGGGCUCAACCCUCGAAUGCCGGCGGAUACUGUCGGACUAGAGUCCGGAAGAGGCGAGUGGAAUUCCUGGUGUAGCGGUGAAAUGCGCAGAUAUCAGGAGGAACACCGAUGGCGAAGGCAGCUCGCUGGGACGGUACUGACGCUGAGGCGCGAAAGCUAGGGGAGCAAACGGG